rnacentral:rRNA from 1 species
AGUGAACGCUGGCGGCGUGCCUAAUACAUGCAAGUCGAACGGAGUGGCGCACGGGUGAGUAAUAUAUAGCUAAUCUGCCCCAAGCUGGAGGACAACAGUUAGAAAUAACUGCUAAUACUCAAUAUCAAGGGAUGAGACUAUAUCGUAUCAGCUAGUCGGUGUGGUAACGGCCUACCGAGGCUAUGACGCGUAACUGGACUGAGAGGAUGAUCAGUCACAUUGGAACUGAGACACGGUCCAAACUCCUACGGGAGGCAGCAGCAGGGCAUCUUGCUCAAUGGGGGAAACCCUGACGCAGCAACGCCGCGUGGAGGAUUACACUUUGCGGAGCGUAAACUCCUUUUGUUCGGGAAGCGGUAUCUAACGAAUAAGCACCGGCUAACUCCGUGCCAGCAGCCGCGGUAAUAC